CUAAGUCCGAUGAGGGAAUUUUCAUUGGUUAUUCUUCACGUAGCAAAGCAUAUAGGGUUUUUAAUAAAAGAACCGAAACUGUGGAGGAAUCCCCUCAUUUUGUAUUUUCCGAAAAUAAUGCUCGCUUUACGAGAAAGGAUUCCGGUUUUGAUCUUGCAGGUAUCUUGAUAGUUUGAAAGACAAAAUACAAGAGGAAACGCCUAAGGAAAAUCAAGAGGAAUUUUUG
rnacentral:lncRNA from 1 species